CCUGACCCCAUGCCGAACUCAGAAGUGAAACGCCGUAGCGCCGAUGGUAGUGUGGGGUCUCCCCAUGCGAGAGUAGGCCCUACUCUCG
rnacentral:rRNA from 1 species